UUCACGGAGAGUUUGAUCCUGGCUCAGGACGAACGCUGGCGGCGCGCUUAACACAUGCAAGUCGAGCGAGAACCGGGGCUUCGGCCCCGGGGACAGCGGCGAACGGGUGAGUAACACGUGAGUAACCUGCCCUCGGCACCGGAAUAGCCCGGGGAAACCCGGAUUAAUGCCGGAUGGCCCCCCUGUCCUGCGGGACGGUGGGAAAAGGUAGCUUCGGCCUCCGGCCGAGGAUGGGCUCGCGGCGGAUUAGCUUGUUGGCGGGGUAACGGCCCACCAAGGCGACGAUCCGUAGCUGGUCUGAGAGGACGAUCAGCCACACUGGGACUGAGACACGGCCCAGACUCCUACGGGAGGCAGCAGUGGGGAAUCUUGCGCAAUGGGCGAAAGCCUGACGCAGCGACGCCGCGUGCGGGAAGAAGGCCUUCGGGUUGUAAACCGCUUUCAGGAGGGACGAAGCCACUCGGGUUAACAGCCCAGAGGGUGACGGUACCUCCAGAAGAAGCCCCGGCUAACUACGUGCCAGCAGCCGCGGUAAUACGUAGGGGGCAAGCGUUGUCCGGAUUUAUUGGGCGUAAAGAGCGUGUAGGCGGCCAGGU
rnacentral:rRNA from 1 species